UAUGACAGGGAUAAACCUGAAAUCCUUUUUUCUUCUUUAUUUUAGACAGUUAACGUUUUACAGAUAAAAAUGGCUUACCACAAUUCACAAAAUGAAAAAGUCAAAUAUAUUGGCACACAAUAAAGUCAGCAGUAUAUUCAUACUGUACUUUUAAUAACAUUGAAGAUGGAUUUCAUUUUACAAAGAAUAAUUUUGAGAUUUCAUGCAUAGAAUAUAUUCAAUUGUCAUUUUGCAAUGCUUUAAAAAUGUAGGAUCAAGAAAUCCAUAUAUAACAGGAUUUAUGAUAUUAUUGAUGAUAAAUGUUCUAGCAAGGAUAGGAAAUAUGGCCUUUGUUAGCGGUGAUUCUGUAAACUGACCUUUUACAACAGAUGCAUUUAAUUUUACUGCUACAUAUGGCAGGUAGCUCAAAAUAAAGCAGAAGCUGAUAACGAAUGCCAUCCGUGUAACUUUUUUAGAACUUUUCUUUUUUGAAACUACCUUAGAAUGUCCGUUUGAUUUCUUCUGUUCAUUCUUUUUAGGGGUUCCUGGUGUCUCAAUUGUGUUUAUACCGAUUCCUUUCUUAUCCACUAUUUCACUCUGAUGUUUAAUGAGGUUGGUGGUGUGAUGUUCACACGUAGUUAACUCAGUAGCCAUUGACGUCGUUGAUAUCGCAUACCUUGCUCGAUUUGAGUUUUGAUACUUUGCUCGUUCAAGCACUCGCAAUCCUACUAUUGAAUACAUAAUCACAAGUGCAACCAUGCAUGAUAGAUAGACCGUUAACAGAAGAGUACUGUAUAUCGUACCAUAAUCUUUCAUGCUAUAUCGGUCUGAAAAACUGCAAUCAUACCCUGUUAAGUUGUUACCCAACGUUUCUUUGCUUAUCCCACUUAACGCUGCUUCCGGCCAACAAAAUAACACGGCAAUUCCUACUGAUAUUAAAAUUGUUACCAAACCUUGAUUCGGUGUUAGUUGUUUUUUCAAUGGUUGACAAACUAGUCGGAGACGAUUUCCCGACAUGGCAAUCAAAAGUAGAGACGACGUCAAAGAUAAAUGUACACUUACUGCUCGGAAGAUCUGACAUCCUAAUCCAGAAUAAAAUGUCAACUGGUGUGUUUGUUGGAACAAUUCAAAUGGUAUUGCUACCGUGCACACCAGUAAAUCGGUGAUAGCUAAAGCCCGAAUGUACAUCCAAUGGGUGCCAUCUCGUCGCCGGAGGGAUCCAAAGUACACGAUAAUAACUAAUAAAUUUCCUGGAAUUCCUAAAAUCAUUACAACAGAUAAAUACACGAUUGCUGAUGUUCUUUUCGAUAUUUCUAUGUUAUUAUAGUCUUCUAAUGUCAUUUCAAUGCUUGUAUGAUUUCCCGCCAUUUUGCAAUAUACUACCUGAAGUCUGCAACAACAGAUAUUUUAAUCUUUCCGUGAAAGUUUCGUCAUCUAGUAAUUUACGAAAAAUCUAGUGUUCACAUAUGGUAUAUGUCAGUCGCAAAUAUACGAAAUACAGUCUGAUUUUGAUUCAUUUUACAUGUUCAUUUGUACAGAUCACAGGAUAACAAUACUUAUCUCAACAAUUUCCUUCCUAUUGUAUAUUAUCCAAAUGAAAAUUAUGUUAUAUUAAUUAAGAGCAAUUAUUAUACGGAAACAGGUUAAAUAGAAACAAUUGAUUUUAUUACAACGGUAUAAAAAUGCAGAUUACUAUCCUCAGAUAAUUUUCCAAAUGUGAACGUGACAUGCACAGGCAAACCUUUGAAGUUCCUCAGCAC
rnacentral:lncRNA from 1 species